rnacentral:rRNA from 1 species
AUUGAACGCUGGCGGAAUGCUUUACACAUGCAAGUCGAACGGCAGCACGGACUUCGGUCUGGUGGCGAGUGGCGCACGGGUGAGUAAUGUAUCGGAACGUGCCCAGUCGUGGGGGAUAACGUAGUGAAAAUUACGCUAAUACCGCAUACGAUCUAUGGAUGAAAGCGGGGGAUCGCAAGACCUCGAGCGAUUGGAGCGGCCGAUAUCAGAUUAGGUAGUUGGUGGGGUAAAGGCCCACCAAGCCAACGAACUGUAGCUGGUCUAAGAGGACGACCAGGCACACUGAAACUGUGACACGGUCCAGAUUCUUACUGGAGGCAGCAGUGUGGAAUUUUGGACAAUGGGCGAAAGCCUGAUCCAGCCAGUCCGCGUGCAGGAGGAAGGCCCUCGGUUUGUAAACUGCUUUUGUACAGUGCGAAAAGUUUUCUACUAUUACCAGGAGCUCAUGACGGUACUGUAAGAAUAAGCACCGGCUAACUACGUGCCAGCCGCCGCCGUAA